GACGAACGCUGGCGGCGUGCUUAACACAUGCAAGUCGAACGGAAAGGCCCCUUUGUGGGUCCUCGAGUGGCGACCGGGUGAGUAACACGUAAGUAACCUGCCCUUGCCUUCGGGAUAACUACAGCAAACUGAGGCUAGUACCGAUUAGGAAUCAUUUCUUCAUGCUGGGGGUUGGAUAGCUUCGGCGGUUUUGGCUUGACUCGCGGCUUAUCUCCUUGCUGGUGGGGUUGUGGCUUACCAAGGCUUUGGCGGGUAGCUGGCCUGCGGGGGCGACCGGCCACAUUGGGACCGAGAUAAGGCCCAGGAUCCGAAGGGAGGGAGCAGGGGGGAAGAAUGCAAAAGGGGCGGAAGGCGGAUGCAGAAACGCCGCGGGCGGGAAGACGGCCUUCGGGGUGUAAACCGCUUUCAGCAGGGGCGAAGCUUGUGGUGACGGUACCUGCAGAAGAAGCACCGGCUAACUACGUG
rnacentral:rRNA from 1 species